ACGAAUUUCCUCCUUCCCUCACGGCUCACACACUCUCUCUCCCUCCGUUACUCUGUCUGGUUAGAGUCGUACGGUGGAACAACCCCACUCUCGCCCCUCUCCGCCGAUUCUUCAAUCGCCAUUUUCCUUAAACCCCAAAUCCCCUUCCCGCCCCCCCUCUUUUUUCUCCCUCUCUAAAAUUUAGGGUUCAUAAUGUGCUGUCUUUUGCAAGCUCAGGUCCGAUCCGCCCAUGGCGUUUCCUCUACACUUUUGGAGUUUACUAAGCGCCGUAUUAUGCCCCCAAGGUUGAGAUACGGAAGCCAUAGUUGGUGUAAGAUUGAUGCAGCAGCUUGUUGGUGAAGAGGAUUUGGCCGAUUGGAAGGGCACCGUAGGGGAUUUUUUGUUGCAUUGGUUGAUAUAUAUUCAGGUUUGGCAGAGGGAAUGAAGCCACUGGUCCGCUGAGUAUAGUGAUGUAUGUAUGUAUGUAUGUAUGUAAUACAUUGGAUCUUAUUUCUUCAUCAAUUUCAAUUUCAAUUUCCAUUUCCA